CUGUGGUACUGCAAGUGUAUUUUCGGUUAGGAGUCACGAAUUAUAUUUUUAUUUCUGACAACACUGCUAUGAAGCUGGAGAUGUGCUGUAGUAUAACCUCAGUGUGUUAAGGCGGAACAGGUGCUCUUCGACUUACGAUGAGGUAACGUCCCGAUGAAUGGAAAAUAUCGUAAGUUGAAUAUGAAAAUGAUGCGAUAACUACUGUCACUGAAUAGGUGAUUACUAAUAAUAUUGAAUAAAUAACUACUGUAACUAAAUAACAGUAAUUUAAAAGUAAUUAAUAGAAGUUUAUUUGGUUAAACGGAAGAACACACCGAUGUGUCGUUAAACACUGUACGUGACAUUUACGCUGGCGAUUGCUACGCAGGAUGGAAGCGGGGCUGCGUGGAUGCUGCCAUUGCCUGGCAUCGGUAGAGUGUAUCGUACGGCAUAUCGAUAGCCCGGGCACACAUCAAAAUUCAAAUUUUGAUAACUACAAAAUGUGCAUUGGUUUCGCACCAUUAUAAAGUGAGGAAAAUCUGUAUGCAGAUAAGAGACCGCACCUGUGGGGUACAUCUUCUCUAGCCCACUUGGGGGCGCAACUCACCACAGAACUGGGACUGUCACUACAAAUGGGUCACACAUUGCCUCGUCCCUUUCAUGGAGAUUUGAGAGCGGAAACGCAAAAUUACCAAUGCUUCAGAUAAUUCGUGGAGGACACAGCCAUGCCCUUUUUGAAGUAAAUCCUUCAAAUUAUUUUUACAAAUUGAUUUUUUUUGGGUAGUGGAAAGAGUGUGUGUACUAUCUAAUGAGAGUCCUUGAGGGAACAAAAGCCUUUUCCAGCAAGCUGUAGAUAUGUUGCUGCAGUAGGAUCCACUCACCCGCCUCUGGAGACUGGACAGGCUGCUACAGAUUUGCAUUGGUCUACAGGCUGCAUUUGUACUACUCUUCACUCAAAGACUACAUCAGUGAGGCGUGAAACAUGGGGGGCCAGAAAAGAUGACCCAUCUCUCUCCAACCGCCGAAACGCACGGGUAACACUAAGAUACUGACUAAGACGACGUUGAGGAACAGUUUUGUACAACAAGCCAACGAAACGUUUCACUGACAAUACUGAGAAUGGGAUGCAACUCAGCGGAGGCAGUCAGCUGACAGAGGUGAAAGGUCAGCUGCAGAUGGGGGCUGUCAUGCACUUUAACCCAAGAAUAAUACACAUUCGAACAAAGAAAAACACACUUGUGCCUCGAGCUUUCAAACUGUAAAAAUGACCAUAUAGAAUUUGUUUUAACGCCAAAAUUGUGACUGCUAUCUCAGUUUUGCAAAAGAAGAGUGACACCGGGAUGUGAAAAGCCCAGUUCUGCAGAGCAGUUCAAGUCCAUGGACACGCCGCAGUGAAGUCCGGAGCUCUCCGUAGCCGACAGGUGUCAGUGAAGGAGGGCGCGUCAGAGCAAGCCCCUGUUUGAGCACGUUUGAGGCAUGGCA